GAGAGAGAGAGAGGGUCAUUUAUAGACAAAAGUGCAUUCACCACCGAACAAACAAACAUGCUUCCCAAUAGGGUGAACAAGUGUUCCUGUGGCUUAACGUCCUCUCCCUUCCCAGUCCAAAAAAUCCUACAAGGAACUACGGCAAGCAAAGCCCUUUGAAAGCUACAUUAUCCCUGCUGCACCACGCCAGUGCCUCAGAGCACUCCACCUCACAGGUCUGGCCGCGCACGGCCGCCUCCGGCAGCACCGCUCCCCUCAGCUCUGCUGGGGCUCAGAUCUGUGCGCCUCAGCCCCGCACUGCCAUCGCUCUAUCUCCCCUUUUCUUCCUUGGAGCGACGUCUCGGGCUCACUGUCAGUCUUCCAAACCACAAAAGACAUGGCUUGGAGGAAUGGGAAAUGGAACCGCCAGUGGAGCACAAGCCUACUUUUGUAAGAAGCUCUUGAAAACAGACCAAAACCCACAACACACACCUGAAAAGCUUUCCGUGGUAUUUGCUGUAAGCAGAUGGAAUAGUAUGCAAGCAUCUGAACCACAUUUUGAAGAUCUCAAAGGUCAUUUAAAUGAAUGAACAAUUAAGGUAUUUUUAUGAGUUUGAUUACAUCUCUCUUGUGUAUGUUUUUGAGGACUGAAGAAGGGGGUCAUAAAAUAUUGCUUCAAAGAAAAUUCCUUGGCAAUUCUGGGAAUGCCAUCAUAGCAUUUACAACAAAUCAGUAAUGGAGAAGAAGAAAAAUGACACUUAGGUCAGAUGAAUCCUGCCCUAAAUGUGGAGACAUUUUCACUGCGAGUACAAAGGAUCCUGGGGUGACUGUUAACACUGAAAUAAAAUCACAUGAAUCCCAACAUUCCUUUCUUUUGAAGAAGAGAAGAAGCACCAAUGAAUUUUUCCAUUUUGCUACAGCAUAGUAAUUUCUUAUGAAAACAUUCUUCUCCAGUAAAAGCAUACCCACAGA